rnacentral:rRNA from 1 species
GACGAACGCUGGCGGCGUGCCUAAUACAUGCAAGUAGAACGCUGAAGGAGGACCUUUCUUCUCUGGAUGAGUUGCGAACGGGUGAGUAACGCGUAGGUAACCUGCCUGUUAGCGGGGGAUAACUAUUGGAAACGAUAGCUAAUACCGCAUAAGAGUAGAUGUUGCAUGACAUUUGCUUAAAAGGUGCAAUUGCAUCACUACCACAUGGACCUGCGUUGUAUUAGCUAGUUGGUGAGGUAACGGCUCACCAAGGCAACGAUACAUAGUCGACCUGAGAGGGUGGUCGGCCACACUGGGACUGAGACAAGGCCCAGACUCCCAAGGGAAGCAGCAAGAGGGAAACUUCGGCAAUGGGCGGAAGGCUGAACGAGAAAAGCCGCGGGAGUGAAGAAGGUUUUCGGAUCGUAAAGCUCUGUUGUAAGAGAAGAAAGAGUGUGAGAGUGGAAAGUUCACACUGUGACGGUAUCUUACCAGAAAGGGACGGCUAACUACGUG